GAUGUCAUAAGAAAACGUGACGUUAGAACCGAGCGAACGGAGCCGCGACGGUCGGGUACCUGGAAAUCUAGGUUUUCAAAGACCCUCGCCCGACCUUCCGGCCGAGAGGGCGCGCGACGAAUUGUUUCUCGUGCGUCCCGCCCGUCAGAGAGGGGAAAAAUGGAAAUGGCAUCCCACGAUCAAAGUAUCGAUGGCGAGAAUAAAUAAAUAAAUUGAGUAAUUUCCUAGACGGUGGAUCACUCGGCUCGUGGAUCGAUGAAGAACGCAGCAAAAUGCGCGUCGAAGUGUGAACUGCAGGACACAUGAACAUCGACGUUUCGAACGCCCAUUGCGGCCCACGGAUUCUGUUCCCGGGCCACGCCUGGCUGAGGGCCGGCUAUCGAUACUAAGUGGUCGGGCUCGUUCCCGACCGAGCGGAGCGAUCGUCGGCGCGUGCUUCGCUCGCGGGGCAUCGCGUCGGCCUUCGCCGUCUCGCAGACACUCCCGCCGBUGCGGCGUUCGUUUUUUUUAACGAAGCCGUCGUACGCGUUCCGGACGGAAAACAGCGGGUGCCGUAGAGCUUACGCUUUCGUAUGGCGGCAUGCUCGGCACUUCGCUUUCCGUCUCGGCUUCCGUGCGGCGGCCGUGCGCUGCACGCGGUAGAGAGAGAAUAUCAUUAAUGCCGACCUCAGAGCAGACGAGACUACCCGCCG
rnacentral:rRNA from 1 species